rnacentral:rRNA from 1 species
AGCGAACGCUGGCGGCAGGCCUAACACAUGCAAGUCGAACGGAUCCUUCGGGAUUAGUGGCGGACGGGUGAGUAACACGUGGGAACGUGCCUUUUGGUUCGGAACAACUCAGGGAAACUUGAGCUAAUACCGAAUGUGCCCUUCGGGGGAAAGAUUUAUCGCCAUUAGAGCGGCCCGCGUCUGAUUAGCUUGUUGGUGAGGUAAAGGCUCACCAAGGCUACGAUCAGUAGCUGGUCUGAGAGGAUGAUCAGCCACACUGGGACUGAGACACGGCCCAGACUCCUACGGGAGGCAGCAGUGGGGAAUCUUGCGCAAUGGGCGAAAGCCUGACGCAGCCAUGCCGCGUGAAUGAUGAAGGUCUUAGGAUUGUAAAAUUCUUUCACCGGGGACGAUAAUGACGGUACCCGGAGAAGAAGCUCCGGCUAACUUCGUGCCAGCAGCCGCGGUAAUACGAAGGGGGCUAGCGUUGCUCGGAAUUACUGGGCGUAAAGGGAGCGUAGGCGCACAGUUUAGUCAGAGGUGAAAGCCCAGGGCUCAACCUUGGAAUUGCCUUUGAUACUGAUUGUCUUGAGUACGGGAGAGGUGUGUGGAACUCCGAGUGUAGAGGUGAAAUUCGUAGAUAUUCGGAAGAACACCAGUGGCGAAGGCGACACACUGGCCCGUUACUGACGCUGAGGCUCGAAAGCG